UACGUAGGGUGCAAGCGUUAAUCGGAAUUACUGGGCGUAAAGCGUGCGCAGGCGGUUUUGUAAGUCUGGUGUGAAAUCCCCGGGCUUAACCUGGGAAUUGCGUUGGAGACUGCAAGGCUGGAGUCUGGCAGAGGGGGGUAGAAUUCCACGUGUAGCAGUGAAAUGCGUAGAGAUGUGGAGGAACACCGAUGGCGAAGGCAGCCCCCUGGGUCAAGACUGACGCUCAUGCACGAAAGCGUGGGGAGCGAACAGG
rnacentral:rRNA from 1 species